rnacentral:rRNA from 1 species
UACAGAGGGGGCAAGCGUUGUUCGGAAUUACUGGGCGUAAAGGGCGCGUAGGCGGCCUUCUAAGUCAGACGUGAAAUCCCUCGGCUCAACCGGGGAACUGCGUCUGAUACUGGGAGGCUUGAAUCCGGGAGAGGAAUGCGGAAUUCCAGGUGUAGCGGUGAAAUGCGUAGAUAUCUGGAGGAAUACCGGUGGCGAAGGCGGCAUCCUGGACCGGCAUUGACGCUGAACAGCGAAAGCUAGGGGAGCAAACGGG